GACGAACGCUGGCGGCGUGCUUAACACAUGCAAGUCGAACGGAAAGGCCCUGCUUUUGUGGGGUGCUCGAGUGGCGAACGGGUGAGUAACACGUGAGUAACCUGCCCUUGACUUUGGGAUAACUUCAGGAAACUGGGGCUAAUACCGGAUAGGAGCUCCUGCUGCAUGGUGGGGGUUGGAAAGUUUCGGCGGUUGGGGAUGGACUCGCGGCUUAUCAGCUUGUUGGUGGGGUAGUGGCUUACCAAGGCUUUGACGGGUAGCCGGCCUGAGAGGGUGACCGGCCACAUUGGGACUGAGAUACGGCCCAGACUCCUACGGGAGGCAGCAGUGGGGAAUAUUGCACAAUGGGCGGAAGCCUGAUGCAGCAACGCCGCGUGCGGGAUGACGGCCUUCGGGUUGUAAACCGCUUUCGCCUGUGACGAAGCGUGAGUGACGGUAAUGGGUAAAGAAGCACCGGCUAACUACGUGCCAGCAGCCGCGGUGAUACGUAGGGUGCGAGCGUUGUCCGGAUUUAUUGGGCGUAAAGGGCUCGUAGGUGGUUGAUCGCGUCGGAAGUGUAAUCUUGGGGCUUAACCCUGAGCGUGCUUUCGAUACGGGUUGACUUGAGGAAGGUAGGGGAGAAUGGAAUUCCUGGUGGAGCGGUGGAAUGCGCAGAUAUCAGGAGGAACACCAGUGGCGAAGGCGGUUCUCUGGGCCUUUCCUGACGCUGAGGAGCGAAAGCGUGGGGAGCGAACAGGCUUAGAUACCCUGGUAGUCCACGCUGUAAACGGUGGGUACUAGGUGUGGGGUCCAUUCCACGGGUUCCGUGCCGUAGCUAACGCUUUAAGUACCCCGCCUGGGGAGUACGGCCGCAAGGCUAAAACUCAAAGGAAUUGACGGGGCCCCGCACAAGCGGCGGAGCAUGCGGAUUAAUUCGAUGCAACGCGUAGAACCUUACCUGGGUUUGACAUGGAUCGGGAGUGCUCAGAGAUGGGUGUGCCUCUUUUGGGGUCGGUUCACAGGUGGUGCAUGGCUGUCGUCAGCUCGUGUCGUGAGAUGUUGGGUUAAGUCCCGCAACGAGCGCAACCCUUGUUCACUGUUGCCAGCACGUUAUGGUGGGGACUCAGUGGAGACCGCCGGGGUCAACUCGGAGGAAGGUGGGGAUGACGUCAAGUCAUCAUGCCCCUUAUGUCCAGGGCUUCACGCAUGCUACAAUGGCUGGUACAGAGAGUGGCGAGCCUGUGAGGGUGAGCGAAUCUCGGAAAGCCGGUCUCAGUUCGGAUUGGGGUCUGCAACUCGACCUCAUGAAGUCGGAGUCGUUAGUAAUCGCAGAUCAGCAACGCUGCGGUGAAUACGUUCCCGGGGCU
rnacentral:rRNA from 1 species